rnacentral:rRNA from 1 species
GAUGAACGCUGGCGGCGUGCCUAAUACAUGCAAGUCGAGCGAACGGACGAGAAGCUUGCUUCUCUGAUGUUAGCGGCGGACGGGUGAGUAACACGUGGAUAACCUACCUAUAAGACUGGGAUAACUUCGGGAAACCGUAGCUAAUACCGGAUAAUAUUUUGAACCGCAUGGUUCAAAAGUGAAAGACGGUCUUGCUGUCACUUAUAGAUGGAUCCGCGCUGCAUUAGAUAGUUGAUAAGGUAACGGCUUACCAAGGCAACGAUGCAUAGCCGACCUGAGAGGGUGAUCGGCCACACUGGAACUGAGACACGGUCCAGACUCCUACGGGAGGCAGCAGUAGGGAAUCUUCCGCAAUGGGCGAAAGCCUGACGGAGCAACGCCGCGUGAGUGAUGAAGGUCUUCGGAUCGUAAAACUCUGUUAUUAGGGAAGAACAUAUGUGUAAGUAACUGUGCACAUCUUGACGGUACCUAAUCAGAAAGCCACGGCUAACUACGUG